UAAAGCAUAGUGUUAAUGCACAUGAUCCCAUUAGAAAUCCACAAUUAAGUGCACUUAGGUUAGAGUAGUACUGGGAUGGGUAGCCGCCCGAGAAUUCUGUAUGUCUCAC
rnacentral:rRNA from 1 species